rnacentral:lncRNA from 1 species
AAAUAUUACCUUGAAUAAUUCAGAGUAGACAAUACUGAUCGCAUCUAUCUAAUUCAUCUUGAAAGAAGGAUAUCGCAGACGUAUUUAAGUCUGCUUCAUAUCUUUUAUAGUCAUUUUAUAAAAUUUACUGUUUGCAAAAGUAUAAAUUGUUCUAAAUAAUAAGGAUGUUCUUUUCACAUUGCGAUAAGACGUGUCACGGUACUUGUCUAUCCCAAAUUCAUGUAUUUGGUUUUGAUGUUAUAUUUGUUAUUCUCGUGGGAUUUUGUCUGAUGUUUGGUCCGUUUCUGUGUGUGUUACAUUUUAGUGUUGUGUCGUUGUUCUCCUCUUAUAUUUAAUGCGUUUCCCUCGGUUUUAGUUUGUUACCCCGAUUUUGUUUUUUUUUGUCCAUGGAUUUAUGAGUUUUGAACAGCGGUAUACUACUGUUGCCGUUAUUUAU